CUCAGGCUCAGGCUCAGGCUCAAAUCUGUGCAAUGAGGAGACACAGCCAGAUGCGAGUGGUAACACUGCCUGGGCUCCAAACCGGUCCUGCUCUGAAACUGGAAAAAGGAGGAUUUUUGUUUGGCCACACCCUCAUUAGAGUACCUGAAGAAGUUUCAAGAAGAUGCUGGAUUCUGACAGCAAAGACACACACAUCAUGAACAGCACUGUCCUUCUGGGGCAAUGGAGUUUGCAUCUUCCUGCCGUUUACCUUCACUACCGCAUGAAAAACAUUUCUGCAAACAGCAAAGCUGCUGAGGAUGAGAAUUUAGAUUGAGAUGGAGACCACUUUUUUCUUCUGGCAGGGGAAAACAAGGAGAGAAGAGUGCAAUGAACUGCAGCUAUCUAGCCAAACACACCGUGCUCCGAUCCCACACACAGCUUUGAACAACGAAGAAUAUGCAGUCUGUACACCUCCUGUCCAGAACCAGCAAUCACAGAUGGACACCAGUGGUCCGUGGCAUUGGCCAGGAGUAUUUUGACCUGCAGUUGGCUGCUGCAAGCCUAAACUUCUCUGCAUUUUGCUGCCGUUGCAUGUAAAGCGUCUCAUUUAGCUGAGUUUAACCGGCAUCCUCUGGCAGUGAAGGCAGUCACAUCAUUUUAACAUCCAAUACAAGCAAGAUAAAGAAACCAAGUAUCCAGCACGACUUCUCCCACCCUUAAUGUAAACAGGUUAUAACAAAUCAACACUAAAAUGUAAGUCUUGUAUCAGUGGCCUUCUGAUCAAGCAGCACUGCUGCGUUUCACAACCUCCCGAGAAGAGCCUGUACCUGUGUCCCGAAAAGUACCUGCACAUUGCACCAGGGCUAGGCAAGAGCAGAGCAGUUUUCCACAGAGAACAACUAGAGAUUUUUAUCAGCAGAUGCUGCUGCAUGGCAGUACCCUGCUUCAUCCCAAACCCAGGCUCAGGGGUACUGCCAGUCUCAAGUCUGGGUAGCUUGAUAUGAACUGAAUUAUACAGCCAAACUUCUCCAAAAUCCACCCAAUUUUCAUCCAGGCUGGAAAAGUGUAACUUAUGUAAGAAUCUGUGCAGACUUUUUGAAAAGGCAAAAAAACCAAAAAAAAAAAAAAAAAAAAAAAAAAGGCGAGAGAAAAGGGCUGAAAAGAACUGGAAAUGAAACAAAUUUCUUAUUUCCUUGCAGCUUGGGAAUAGUUAUUUUCAGUAUUAGUCUGCACACUGCAACAGCAAUGGAUGUAUUGAAAACAGCUGCUCAUUUCAGACAAACAGUAAACUAUACCAGUUGUGAUCUGCUUGAAAUGAUAAGUUCUUUGAGACCUUAUGAAUAAUAUCAGCAUCUGCAAAUGCACCUUAUUCACCACAGAGACACUGUAGCAUGUGCUGGUGCUGCAAGAAGUAACCAGUCCCUAUCGUUUACAGAACAGAUACCAAGCUAACCCAGCAAGUGCACAAGGCUCAAAGUAUGGAUUUUAGUUGCAUAUAUCCAUUAAUAAACUCCAAGAUGUUCAGCUGCAGUCUGACAGGCAGAAGAUUUGCACUUUUACAUGGAAAAGAGCAGAAUACUUAACCUGAGUCUAACCUCCCUGCUUAAAACCUAGAUGCACUUAAUUUAGCAAGUACAAAUUAAUUAGUAUUAUUAAAAUAGCACUUAGCACCAGGAACAGGCAGACUGCUAGUAUUUAAAAAAUACAUUAGCUGGUCAUCAUAAUCUCCAUGUCUAACAAGGCUUGGACCAGGUAAGGUUCUUUUUGCCUACACCAGGAACUACAUGUUAAAAGUCUACAUGAAAACCACUUCUUUUUCCAGGUAGUGCUGGAGUCUAAACACCAGAAGAUCUUGAACCUAUACUUUAGUACAAAACCUCCUCAGUUUGGAAGAAAAGCAGCACAGGGCAAAUCAGAAAGGACAAAUUUCACUUUAUAUAUAGUUAGAAAGAGACUGAGAAGAAACAUUCUUAACCAGAAUUAAUUUACGAGACAAAUAAGUAUUUUUAUGAGCAAAGGCAUCAGGGAAGAGUUUUCUGAUCCAUUUCUAAUUCUCUGUAAUGUUUCCAAAACCUUUACUGUUACAGAUUAUGUCAAGCAGCAGCACCUUUGCUUUGCUUCUCUUCCAGAUUUCACAGAUAAUUUUCAUCUGUAUUUGUUUGGAUUUU